AUGAAUCUCCUAAGUUGGAACUGCCGGGGAGGGGGGAAUACCCAGACAGUUCGAGAGCUGGCGACUCUUUGUCAGUCGCAUUCCCCCACUUUGGUGUUUUUGUGUGAUACAAGGCAGAAGGCGGACAAGUUGAAAAGAAUCCAAGCGAGGUUGGGCUUGAAGGGUUUUUGCGGCGUGGAUAGUAAUGGUAUGAGCGGUGGUCUGGCUCUAUAUUGGCAUGAAUCUUAUGACGUCCAGAUUCUAGACAAGAAGGAAAGAUACAUUGAUGCCUUGGUGCGAAUUCAUCCGGAUGCUGAGCAAUGGAGAGUAACUUGCGUGUAUGGAGAACCCAGAGUGGAAAAUAGACCGGCAAUGUGGUCGGCGUUACAAAACCUGAAAAUGUGUGAGCGUGUCAGACACUAA
rnacentral:rRNA from 1 species